rnacentral:rRNA from 1 species
UUCGAUUAAGCCAUGCGAGUCGCGAGUCUUAGGGACUCGGCGUACCGCUCAGUAACACGUGGGUAACCUGCCCUAUGCUGGGGAAUAACCUCGGGAAACUGAGAAUAAUGCCCCAUAGUUCACCACGCCUGGAACGGUGGGUGGAUGAAAGCUCCGGCGGCAUAGGAUGGGCCUGCGGCGUAUCAGGUCGUAGGGGGUGUAAUGUACCCUCUAGCCAUCGACGCGUACGGGUGUUGGGAGACAUUGCCCGGAGAUGGAUUCUGAGACACGAAUCCAGACCCUACGGGGUGCAGCAGGCGCGAAAACUUGGCAAUGCGAGAAAUCGUGACCAGGGAACUCCAAGUACAUCGGGUAAGACCGAUGCUUUUCUUGACUCUUCAAAGGUCUUGGAAUAAGGGGUGGGUAAGGACGGUGCCAGCCGCCGCGGUAAUACCGGCGCCUCAAGUGGUAGUCGCUUUUAUUGGGCCUAAAACGUCCGUAGCCGGUUUGGUACAUUCGUGGGUAAAUCAAGGCGCUCAACGUCUUGAAUUCUGCGAGCACGGCCAGACUUGGGACCGGGUGAGGUGUGGGGUACUCUCAGGGUAGGGGUAAAAUCCUGUCAUCCUGAGAGGACCACCUGUUGCGAAGGCGCCACACUAGAACGGAUCCGACGGUCAGGGACGAAGCCUAGGGGCACGAACCGGAUUAGAUACCCGGGUAGUCCUAGGUGUAAACGCUGUGGACUUGAUGUUGGGAGUGCUCCGAGCACCCUCAGUGUCGAAGCGAAGGUGAUAAGUCCACUGCCUGGGGUGUACGGUCGCAAGGCUGAAACUUAAAGGAAUUGGCGGGGGAGCACUGCAACCUGAGGAUUGUGCG